AAAAACAUGUCUUUUUGAGAAUAAUUUAAAGUCUGACCUGCCCACUGAAAAGAAAGUUUGAAGGGCCGCAGUAUUUUGACUGUGCAAAGGUAGCAUAAUCAUUAGUCUUUUAAUUGAGGACUGGUAUGAAUGGUUUAACGAAGUAUUAACUGUCUCAUUUUAAUAAGUUGAAAUUAACUUUUGAGUUAAAAGGCUUAAAUGGAAUUAAAGGACGAGAAGACCCUAUAGAGCUUUAUAAAUUUAGUGUUAGAUAUAAUUUGGAAGUAUUAUUAAAUUUAAGUAAAAAAUUUAUUUUAUUGGGGUGAUAUGAAGAUUUAAUAAACUCUUUAUAGUAAUUAAACAUAGAUAAAUGAAUAAUUGAUCCAUUUUUAGUGAUUAUAAGAUUAAGUUACCUUAGGGAUAACAGCGUAAUGUUUUUUGAGAGUUCUUAUCAACAAAAAAGAUUGCGACCUCGAUGUUGGAUUAAGGAAAAGGUUGGGUGUAGAAGUUCAAAUAUUUAGGUCUGUUCGACCUUUAAAUCCUUACGUCAUCUG
rnacentral:rRNA from 1 species